AAAACGUGAAAAGUGGGGGCGUGGAGGCGGGAGAAAAGAGAUAAGAGAGGAAGAGAGGAGCACAGGAUGGGUAAAGGCGGUAAAGACGGGUCCUUCAGGAGCUUUGGCUUCCUUAAAGAGAGGAAGAGGACACAGAACAAGUGAGGAGAUAGCACGCUGGUCACACCACAUCUCAAGCAUUCUGUUCAGCUCUGAGUUCCUUGUUUCAGGAAAAAUAUUGAAAAACUAAAGUGAAUCCAGAGAAAGGUAUUUAUUAAGCGCCUACUGUGAUUCAGGCCCUGAGCAGUUGCUGAGCCUACAAAAAGACUAACUGAAAACUCCUGCCCUAAUGGAACUCACUCUUCACUGGCCAGGUUACAGAUUUCAAACUGCACCAAGUCUUUUGGGACACCCUGUAUACAUUGAGGAAGGAGAAAGCAAUAACAGCUGGAAGAUCAGGAAACACUCUCUGCAGGAGGUAACACAUGAACUGAGCCCUGCAUUCAAAGAGGUUCCAGUGAAGGAGUGCAUCCUAAGCACGUGCAAAGUGGGAGAAAUGGAAGAUGAAAUCAGUCAUUGAAAACAGUGCAAGUAUUAUCCCCAUUGUACAAAUGGACAAACUGAGGUCCAUAGAGGCAGAGUGACUUGCUCAGAGUCACACAAGUUAUUAAAUGUCAGAGCUGAGUCUCAAAUUCAGACCUUUUGUCUCUAAGACUUGGACCAAGUGUGCUGCUUCUCUGUCUGAAAAAUGAACAUAUUUUGGAGGAAUUCCUUGAGGUUAAGAUGAUUGGAAA